AGUUGGUCCGCUAGUAGUGGGUUAUCAUGUCACGAUUUCCCUCCCACCACUGCCAUUGACUAGCUAUCU
ensembl:Y_RNA Y_RNA Y RNA